GCAAGGCACGGUUGCACGUGCCUGUAGUCCCAGCUACUUGGGAGGCUAGGGUGGGAGGAUCGCUUGAGCCCAGGAGUUCUGGGCUGUAGUGAGCUAUGCCAAUCAAGUGUCUGCACUAAGUUCGGCAUCAAUAUGGUGACCUCCCGGGAGCGGGGGACCACUAGGUUGCCUAAGGAGGGGUGAAGCGGCCCAGGUCAGAAACAGAGCAGGUCAAAACUCCUGUGCUGAUCAGUAGUGGGAUGGUGCCUAUGAAUAGCCAUUGCACUCCAGCUUGGGCAACACAGCGAGACCCUGUCUCUU
rnacentral:SRP_RNA from 1 species